rnacentral:rRNA from 1 species
AUACGUAGGUGGCAAGCGUUGUCCGGAAUUAUUGGGCGUAAAGAGCAUGUAGGUGGGCUGUUAAGUCUGUUGUGAAAAUGCGGGGCUCAACCCCGUAUUGCGAUGGAAACUGACAGUCUUGAGUGCAGGAGAGGAAAGGGGAAUUCCCAGUGUAGCGGUGAAAUGCGUAGAUAUUGGGAGGAACACCAGUGGCGAAGGCGCCUUUCUGGACUGUGUCUGACACUGAGAUGCGAAAGCUAGGGGAGC